CAAUAGCGUAUAUUAAAGUUGUUGCAGUUAGAACGCUCGUAGUCGGAUUUCGGGGCGGGCCGACCGGUCUGCCGAUGGGUACACACUGGUCGGCGCAUCCUUCCUUCCGGAGACCGUGCCUACUCUUAACUGAGCGGGGGCGGGAGACGGAACGUUUACUUUGAAAAAAUCAGAGUGUUUCAAGCAGGCAGUGCGCUCUUGCAUGGAUUAGCAUGGGAUAAUGAAAUAGGACUUUGGUGCUAUUUUGUUGGUUUCGAACACCGAAGUAAUGAUUAAAAGGGACAGUCAGGGGCACUCGUAUUCCGCCGAGAGAGGUGAAAUUCUCAGACCAGCGGAAGACGAACCACUGCGAAAGCAUUUGCCAGGGAUGUUUUCACUGA
rnacentral:rRNA from 1 species